rnacentral:lncRNA from 1 species
AAACGUAUAGAUUUUUUUUUUUUGAAAACACAUUUGAGAACAUCCCAUAAACAUACACAGACCCACCACAUGGACAAAGAAUUUUCUGUAUAACGGACAAAGUCUCCUUUGUACAUGCACGAUAUAGUACCAUAGUACAAAGUCAAGCACACACACAACCACACAACACAAACAUUCUAAAAAUUAUUAAAUAACAAUAAUCCCAGAAUAAUAAUUAUCUACAUCUAUUCACUGAUAUAAAAACAUUAACAGGUAAAUGAAUUAAACUAAUCCAACAGGCAGGAAAAGCUAAACCAAAUAUUAGAUAUAAGGGUCUAUGAGGACCAAUCAAGAACUCAACUACUUAGUAUCAUUCUAACGCACUGUCCCAAUCUUCACCUCCCGCGUCACCUGAAAAGUGGUUGGGUGAGAACAUCUAAACAUGUUUUCCCUCACAGUGUGUAUCGAAAGCCGACGAAGGCAAGUUGUACUCAUCCUUUAAAAGAUAUUUACACUGUUUGAAAAAUAUUUACACAGUUUCUUCUUUUGUUGCAUUGUUUUUUCUUUUGUUACACUAUUUCUUCUCUUUAUUGCACUCUUUAAGAGGAGAAACAGUACAACAAAAGUAGAAACAGUGCAACGAGAGGAGAAACAGGGUAAAUAUCUCUUAAAGUGUGCAACUUGUAUCUAAAAGAAUGCAACAAGAGAAAAAAUAAUGUAAAUAUCUCUCAAAAAGUACAAAUUUUGUUUAAAAAGUAUAAAUUUCAUCUUAAAGGAUGCAGUUUACAUAUCAAAGAAAUGCAAUAGGAGAAAUAGUGUAAAUAUCUUCCAAAUAGUGCAAUUUUUAUUUAAGAAGUAUAACUUUCAUCUUAAAGUGUGCAGUUUACAUCUCAAAUAGUGAAACUUACGUUCAUAAUAGUGCAACGUUCUUUUAAAACAGUGUAAUUUUAUUUUAACAAUACAAUUUCAUCUUCGUCUUUCUUCUUUCAUAAUUUUUUGUCUUUAUUUUUUCUUCUUCCUUCUUCUAUAAUUUUUUUUUGGGUCAUGCCUCUCUACCAACGGACACUACGCCGGCGACGACGUCGCUAAGGACCCCCCGCUCUGAGGCUGCGGCCCCACAAUGACCUCUGCGGUGUUAGCAUUGGCGAAAAGGCGUUGUCAUCGGAGGCGACGGAGGAGGAAGGAGAGGGAGAGGGAGAGGGCGAGAAGAGCAGGAAAGAGCGAGAGAGGACAAGAGAGGCGUCAUCGUCAAAGAUAGGGGAGGAGGGUUGGAGAGGAAAAAAAAAAAAAAGAGUUGCGGCGCGGCCUCAGAGAGGUUGGAGGUGAGGAACGUCAGGGAUGAGCGCGGACAAGGGUGAGCGCGAGGGCGAGGGCGAGGGCGAGGGCGAGGGCGAAGGCGAGGGGAUGAGGGUGAGAGGCGACGCAGGCCGUUUCUACCUUUGCCUCUGCCGUCGCUGCCUUAUUUGGCGAGAGAAAAAAAAGAUGUACGGGAGAAAAAAAAAAAAAAAGGAGAAAGAAAAAGUAAUAAGAAUAUUUUAGUCAGUUUGCUAAAAAUUCGGACCGAAUCUGCAAAAUCAUNCUUCUAUAUUUUUUUUUGUCACCCGUCUCUGCCAGCGCCGACGACAACGCCGCUAAGAACCCCUGCUCUGAGGCUGCAGCGCCGCAGCAACGUCCAGGAGCGUUGGCGAAGAUGCGUCGUCUUCGAAUACGGCAGAGGAGGAAGGAGAGGGAGAGGGCGAGAAGGGCGAGAGAGGCGUCGUCAUCGGAGAUGGUGAAGGAGAAUCGGAGAUGAAAAAAAAAAGAGUUGCGGCGCGGCCUCAGAGAGGUUGGAGGUGAGGAACGUCAGGGAUGAGCGCGGACAAGGGUGAGCGCGAGGGCGAGGGCGAGGGCGAGGGCGAGGGCGAAGGC